rnacentral:rRNA from 1 species
UCCGGUUGAUCCUGCCGGACCCCACUGCUAUCGGGAUGGGACUAAGACAUGCUAGUCGUGCGCUUCCAAGCCAUGGUGGAAGCGCGGCGCACAGCUCAGUAACACGUGGCUAACCUACCCUUGGGACGGGGACAACCCCGGGAAACUGGGGCUAAUCCCCGAUAGGUGAGGGCUCCUGGAAUGGAGCCUUGCCCAAAAAGCGUCUAGACCAUGCUUCUAGGCGCCGCCCAAGGAUGGGGCCGCGGCCGAUCAGGUUGUUGGUGAGGUAACGGCUCACCAAGCCUAUAACCGGUACGGGCCGUGAAAGCGGUAGCCCGGAGAUGGACACUGAGAUAAGGGUCCAGGCCCUACGGGGCGCAGCAGUCGCGAAACCUCCGCAAUACGCGAAAGCGUGACGGGGCCAUCCCGAGUGCCGUCCGCUGAGGAUGGCUUUUCUCUAGUGUAGACAGCUAGGGGAAUAAGGGGAGGGCAAGUCGGGUGUCAGCCGCCGCGGUAAUACCUGCUCCCCGAGUGGUGGGGACGCUUAUUUGGCCUAAAGCAUCCGUAGCCGGCUGGACAAGUCCCCUGUUAAAUCCAGCGAUUCAAUCGCUGGACUGCGGGGGAUACUGCCCAGCUAGGGGGCGGGAGAGGCCGACGGUAUUCCCGGGGUAGGGGUGAAGUCUUAUAAUCCCGGGAGGACCACCAGUGGCGAAGGCUUUCGGCUAGAACGCGCCCGACGGUGAGGGAUGAAAGCUGGGGGAGCGAACCGGAUUAGAUACCCGGGUAGUCCCAGCUGUAAACGAUGCGGGCUAGGUGUUGACACGGCUUGUAGCCGUGUCAGUGCCGCAGGGAAGCCGUUAAGCCCGCCGCCUGGGGAGUACGGCCGCAAGGCUGAAACUUAAAGGAAUUGGCGGGGGAGCACCACAAGGGGUGAAGCUUGCGGUUUAAUUGGAGUCAACGCCGGAAACCUUACCGGGGGCGACAGCAGAGUGAAGGCCAGAUUAAAGGUCUUGCCAGACAAGCUGAGAGGAGGUGCAUGGCCAAUCACGAAUUC